rnacentral:rRNA from 1 species
UCCAGACUCCUACGGGAGGCAGCAGUGGGGGAUAUUGCACAAUGGGGGGAACCCUGAUGCAGCGACGCCGCGUGGGUGAAGAAGCGCCUCGGCGCGUAAAGCCCUGUCAGCAGGGAAGAAAAUGACGGUACCUGAGUAAGAAGCCCCGGCUAACUACGUGCCAGCAGCCGCGGUAAUACGUAGGGGGCAAGCGUUAUCCGGAUUUACUGGGUGUAAAGGGAGCGUAGACGGCAGUGCAAGUCUGGAGUGAAAGGCGGGGGCUCAACCCCCGGACUGCUCUGGAAACUGUACGGCUGGAGUGCAGGAGAGGUAAGUGGAAUUCCUAGUGUAGCGGUGAAAUGCGUAGAUAUUAGGAGGAACACCGGUGGCGAAGGCGGUCUGCUGGACUGCAACUGACGUUGAGGCCCGAAAGCGUGGGGAGCAAACAGGAUUAGAUACCCUUGUAU